AUGUUGAACCGCAUGGUUCUACAGUGAAAGACGGUCUUGCUGUCACUUAUAGAUGGACCCGCGCCGUAUUAGCUAGUUGGUGGGGUAACGGCCUACCAAGGCGACGAUACGUAGCCGACCUGAGAGGGUGAUCGGCCACACUGGAACUGAGACACGGUCCAGACUCCUACGGGAGGCAGCAGUAGGGAAUCUUCCGCAAUGGGCGAAAGCCUGACGGAGCAACGCCGCGUGAGUGAUGAAGGUCUUCGGAUCGUAAAGCUCUGUUGUUAGGGAAGAACAAAUGUGUAAGUAACUGUGCACAUCUUGACGGUACCUAACCAGAAAGCCACGGCUAACUACGUGCCAGCAGCCGCGGUAAUACGUAGGUGGCAAGCGUUAUCCGGAAUUAUUGGGCGUAAAGCGCGCGUAGGCGGUUUUUUAAGUCUGAUGUGAAAGCCCACGGCUCAACCGUGGAGGGUCAUUGGAAACUGGAAAACUUGAGUGCAGAAAAAGAAAGUGGAAUUCCAUGUGUAGCGGUGAAAUGCGCAGAGAUAUGGAGGAACACCAGUGGCGAAAGCGGCUUUCUGGUCUGCAACUGACGCUGAUGUGCGAAAGCGUGGGGAUCAAACAGGAUUAGAUACCCUGGUAGUCCACGCCGUAAACGAUGAGUGCUAAGUGUUAUGGGGUGUCCGCCCCUUAAUGCUGCAGCUAACGCAUUAAGCACUCCCCCCGGGGAGUACGGUCGCAAGACUGAAACUCAUAGGAAUUGACGGGGACGCGCACAAACGGUGGAGCAUGUGGUGUAAUUCUAAGCAACGCGGAGAACCUUACCAAAUCUUGACAUCCUUUGACCGCUCUCGAAAUAGAGUUUUCUUCUUCCGAAGAGAGAAUGACAAGGUGGUGCAUGGGUGGUCGUCACCUCCUGUCGUGGAGAUGUUGGGUUAAGUUCCUCCACCCACCGCAACCGCUGG
rnacentral:rRNA from 1 species